GCCGCAUUCGUCUAGUGGCCCAGGACGUCACGUUCUCAACGUGAAGAUCAGGGGUUCGAAUCCCCUAUGCGGUA
rnacentral:tRNA from 1 species